rnacentral:tRNA from 1 species
GCACCUGUAGUUCAGUGGUUAGGGCACUGGUCACAUACACCAAGGCAGGCGGGUUCAAACCCUGCCUGGGGCU